rnacentral:rRNA from 1 species
GCCAUGCCGCGUGCAGGAUGACGGUCCUAUGGAUUGUAAACUGCUUUUAUACAGGAAAGAAACCCUGCCACGUGUGGUAGAUUGACGGUACUGUACGAAUAAGGAUCGGCUAACUCCGUGCCAGCAGCCGCGGUAAUACGGAGGAUCCAAGCGUUAUCCGGAAUCAUUGGGUUUAAAGGGUCCGUAGGCGGUUUAAUAAGUCAGUGGUGAAAGCCCAUCGCUUAACUAUGGAACGGCCAUUGAUACUGUUAGACUUGAAUUAUUAGGAAGUAACUAGAAUAUGUAGUGUAGCGGUGAAAUGCUUAGAUAUUACAUGGAAUACCAAUUGCGAAGGCAGGUUACUACCAAUAUAUUGACGCUGAUGGACGAAAGCGUGGGGAGCGAACAGGAUUAGAUACCCUGGUAGUCCACGCCGUAAACGAUGGAUACUAGCUGUUGGGCGCACGCUCAGUGGCUAAGCGAAAAUGAUAAGUAUCCCACCUGGGGAGU